CACGUAGGGGGCAAGCGUUGUUCGGAAUUACUGGGCGUAAAGGGCAUGUAGGCGGCUUUGUAAGCCUGGCGUGAAAGUCUGCAGCUUAACUGCGGGAAUGCGUUGGGAACUGCGAAGCUUGAGUUAUGGAGAGGAAGCUAGAAUUCCUGGUGUAGGGGUGAAAUCUGUAGAGAUCAGGAAGAAUACCAAUGGCGAAGGCAAGCUUCUGGCCAAUGACUGACGCUGAGGUGCGAAAGUGUGGGGAUCAAACAGG
rnacentral:rRNA from 1 species